ACUCCUACGGGAGGCAGCAGUGGGGAAUAUUGCACAAUGGGGGAAACCCGUGAUGCAGCCAUGCCGCGUGUGUGAAGAAGGCCUUCGGGUUGUAAAGCACUUUCAGUAGGGAGGAAAGGUUGAUGGUUAAUACCUAUCAGCUGUGACGUUACCCACAGAAGAAGCACCGGCUAACUCCGUGCCAGCAGCCGCGGUAAUACGGGGGUGCGAGCGUUAAUCGGAAUAACUGGGCGUAAAGGGCACGCAGGCGGUGACUUAAGUGAGAUGUGAAAGCCCACGNGUUAACUUGGGAAUUGCAUUUCAUACUGGGUCGCUAGAGUACUUUAGGGAGGGUAGAAUUCCACGUGUAGCGGUGAAAUGCGUAGAGAUGUGGAGGAAUACCGAAGGCGAAGGCAGCCCCUU
rnacentral:rRNA from 1 species